rnacentral:miRNA from 1 species
AAAUCUCAACCAUUUGCUUUGAA